UUCUCUCUCUGUCUGUUAUGAAGUGAAAAUAUGGCAGCUAAUUAAAUGUCGUGUUUAGAAGCCGAAGUUUACCGAUUGACACCUUAUUGUAAACAAUCAACAAUUAAACGUGGAUAUUGAGUACGUGUUUGACAUGUACAAUCAGUUAAAAGUUUAUUUUAAGGACAGAUCCAUGCAUAUUGCGAUCACCGGAUUUUUACGAGUGGGUCACGCUGAGGUCACUUUGCAUACGGAA
rnacentral:lncRNA from 1 species